AGCGAACGCUGGCGGCAGGCCUAACACAUGCAAGUCGAACGGAUCCUUCGGGAUUAGUGGCGGACGGGUGAGUAACACGUGGGAACGUGCCCUUUGGUUCGGAACAACUCAGGGAAACUUGAGCUAAUACCGGAUGUGCCCUUCGGGGGAAAGAUUUAUCGCCAUUGGAGCGGCCCGCGUCUGAUUAGCUAGUUGGUGAGGUAAAGGCUCACCAAGGCGACGAUCAGUAGCUGGUCUGAGAGGAUGGUCAGCCACAUUGGGACUGAGACACGGCCCAAACUCCUACGGGAGGCAGCAGUGGGGAAUCUUGCGCAAUGGGCGAAAGCCUGACGCAGCCAUGCCGCGUGAAUGAUGAAGGUCUUAGGAUUGUAAAAUUCUUUCACCGGGGACGAUAAUGACGGUACCCGGAGAAGAAGCCCCGGCUAACUUCGUGCCAGCCGCCGCGGUAAACC
rnacentral:rRNA from 1 species